rnacentral:rRNA from 1 species
GACGAACGCUGGCGGCGUGCUUAACACAUGCAAGUCGAACGGAAAGGCCCCGCUUUUGUGGGGUGCUCGAGUGGCGAACGGGUGAGUAACACGUGAGUAACCUGCCCUUGACUUUGGGAUAACUUCAGGAAACUGGGGCUAAUACCGGAUAGGAGCUCCUGCUGCAUGGUGGGGGUUGGAAAGUUUCGGCGGUUGGGGAUGGACUCGCGGCUUAUCAGCUUGUUGGUGGGGUAGUGGCUUACCAAGGCUUUGACGGGUAGCCGGCCUGAGAGGGUGACCGGCCACAUUGGGACUGAGAUACGGCCCAGACUCCUACGGGAGGCAACAGUGGGGAAUAUUGCACAAUGGGCGGAAGCCUGAUGCAGCAACGCCGCGUGCGGGAUGACGGCCUUCGGGUUGUAAACCGCUUUCGCCUGUGACGAAGCGUGAGUGACGGUAAUGGGUAAAGAAGCACCGGCUAACUACGUG